rnacentral:tRNA from 1 species
UAGCUCAGUGGUAGAGCACUUGUCUACCAUGCAUGAGGCCCUGAGUUUGAUUCCCAG